ensembl:lncRNA
CGGCGAUCAGCUGGAAGUGGCGUCGCCGGUCCGCUCUGACACAACAGCGGGAAGCCCCCGGAGCCCCGAGCCGGCUCCCCGCCGCACCGAAACACGCCGGCACCGACGGCCCGAUCCGGGCAUCGCGAUCCAGGAAAUGCGGACUUUUGGCCCUUUCGCCACGGGGCAAAUGGCUGCAGCCGCCCGUACUGAAGCGAGCUGGCCCCCACGUGUUGCUGGCCCGCGAGGAUCCACGUGUGCCUUCUGAUGGGCAGCCCGGCCAUCCGCUCGCUGCUGUGCCCAGCCCGAGGUCCGCGUGAUGCGGGGGUUUGCUUGAAUGGAUGCCACUCUGGAAUUCAUGUGCAGAUGCAGCACGGUGGCUCCAACUAGAAGAUUUACGUAAAUGGGACGUGCUCAUGUGGCCAGAAGGUUUUUCACUGAGGAAGAAGGCUUGUGUUUUUUCUCCACCCACCAACAGAAUAACCUAACUUUGCUUUCAAGGAGGUGAUUAUUACACGGAAUGGCACUCUGGCUGUUGUUUGAUCGGGG